GAUGAAGAACGUAGCGAAAUGCGAUAAGUAAUGUGAAUUGCAGAAUUCCGUGAAUCAUCGAAUCUUUGAACGCAUAUUGCGCCCCCUGGUAUUCCGGGGGGCAUGCCUGUUCGAGCGUCAUUUCACCACUCAAGCCUCGCUUGGUAUUGGGCAACGCGGUCCGCCGCGUGCCUCAAAUCGACCGGCUGGGUCUUCUGUCCCCUAAGCGUUGUGGAAACUAUUCGCUAAAGGGUGCUCGGGAGGCUACGCCGUAAAACAAACCCAUUUCUAAGGUUGACCUCGGAUCAGGUAGGGAUACCCGCUGAACUUAAGCAUAUCAAUAAGCGGAGGA
rnacentral:misc_RNA from 1 species